AAAUACAUAUUUUUAAAAGAGAGCACGGAUUAAGACUUAAAAAUAAUAAUAAUAAAAUAAUAAUAAUUAAGUAGGACAGUCCAAAGUAGACUUUAAGGGAAACAAAGACCCCUGGAAGUUCUGUUCUGUUUAGUUUAUAAAUAUAUAUAUAUUUUUAUUUGUUCUUUUGUUUUGUUUGUUGGUUGGUUUUUUUUUUUUCCCUCCUCUCCUGGAUAUUUAUUUCUUUGGUAUUUUGAAUAGAUGUUUUAAAUGAUAUGAACCGGACCUUCAAGAGCCUUAAAUAGUUUCUUUGAUAAUUUAUUAUCAUGUGAACUGUACUCACAGGGGAAAAAAUUAUUUUGUGAGGCCAAGUAAAACUGCGCAGAGUCUAUUUUUCUACAUGUCACGUGUGUCCUGACUUUCAGAAAGCAAAAUUCUGUACUUUCCCAUCUCUCCAUUACAUUGCUCCUUCAUUUCAGCAAGCCUAAAAAACAAGCAAACAAACAAACAAACACACACAAAAAAGACAAACUUCAUGGGGGUCCGUAAAUUAUAUUUUUAUACACAGAAUUGUAAAUUAGAUUUUUUUGAGAGAUCAAUACUUAACUGAAUCACAUUUCGUUUUUUGAAAUAGUGUAAAAUAUGAGAAUAUAUUAUUUUAAUUUAAAUAGUUUCAAAUGUAACAUCAUUUCCUGUAUUGUUUUCCAUGUUUUGCGUUGUAAAAACACCAUUUGGCCAUGUUCAUGGAAGUCAAGACUGUUACACAAACUUUUUGUUUGCAAAAACCGUAAGAAACUUUGUUAUUUUUAACUUCAGAAAAAGUUUAUUAGAAAAUAAUAUUUUUUAAAAAGCGCACAUGGCGGCAAUUCUGUGACGAUGGAGAUGGUAGUUUGUACAGAGGGGGGAAAAGGAUGUUUUGCAUUAAUAAAUUGAGAAAUAACUGCUGUAAAUUUACUAAAAUGUAUUUUUGAAUAUUUUGUAAUAGUUUUAAUAGUUUUAUAGAAAUAAAAUGUGCCAUGCACAGUUUGGUUAGUAUAUAAUAACUAAGAGUUCCUGGUGCAUCCCAUUUUUUUUUUCCUUUUUGCUUAUUGGUUUAGGAAUUAUGAUGCCUAAAUGAGUGCCCGUUAUUUUAUUUAGAUGUGUUGCUUAUAACAUUUAAUUUUGGUACUUUAAUUAAGGAAAUGAAUCCAUCACAUCUGUGCAUAACCUGGAAUCUCUUGUACUGACAGUAGAACCUCACUUAUUUGCACGAGCGACCGGCAGACGGGUUUUCCUUUGCCAGAGCCCUGGCUCCCCAUCCGCGCUCAGGUGAUGCUCCUCUCUUCCAGCUCCAGCACCGGCUCCAUGUCCACUUCCCAGUCUGGUCUGGAGACUGUGGAUGGCUCUUAAAAUUGAUUUCUGAGGACGUUAAAGCAAGUUUUCCCUUUGAAGCACGUUAAUGUGAAGGCAGGCAGCUGUCUUCACCUUGGGACAACACCGGGAUUUCAGUGGGCUUCAAUUUGGGUGCCCAGAAGAUGGAAACCUGAGGGAGAGACAUUGACUUUGUCUAGGAUGUUCAUCCACCAGGCCUUUUGCUCCAGAGAAACAGCCAUGUUCUCUGUCGGGAUGGACGGCAGCUCCAAGGCCUCCCGGAAUGCCCCUGCCUGGGGCCAUCUCCAGAGAGUGUAGACAGUGCUCUUCCACGCUGAAAUCCUAGGAGUUUCUGGAGCACUGUCAGGAGCUGAUGGCCGAGCCCCAUGCAUGAGCACUGCUGUGUCAAGCCCCAACAGAUGGAUGUGGUCUCUUCUUCCUGUCAACCUCUAGUCCAGGCCCACUUCCAGCCUCCAAAGAUCGGACAUGGCCAGGCUGGUGAGACUUCGGAGUGACCACAGCGUACUGCAGCGCCAGGAGAGGAACCAAGCCACCCCAUGCCCACCCGACAUGAGGCAUCACGGGGGACUGUGGACUGCCUGGUGGGUGCUGAGGGCUUGCUGCCCACCCCAGCUCGGACUCUGCCACCUCCCUGUCUUUGGGAUGUGCUGGGGGCUGCAAACCCAGCUGAUUUGGGGCAUGUGAGAAUGUGAUCGUGGAACAAAUGAGUCUCUGCUGUAAGAGUCUGGCCUUAGUACAGCAGCGUCUGGGUGUCUGAGCUCUCUUACCGUGUCUCUGAGAGGUGGUUGAUGUUUUUUAAGGCCUUUGCACUCAAAGAAAUGACCGUGUUGGAAGGUCCCUUCUCCAGAGGUUGGGUGGUGGAGGUGUUUAGGGAUGUCAAUGAUCAAAUUUAAAGCCACUGGCUUGAGGGCUUUCAGUCAAAAUCACAACUGAGAUGUAAAAGAGCCAUCAGACCAGAGCCCACGCUUGUGUCAGGGCAGGGCAUGUGCCUGGAUGGGACCACACCAGACAUUGCCUCAUUUAAUCUUCACCCAAAGGCCGAGAUGAGCUCAGAGCUUUGUGGUGUGAGAGAAGCUAAGAUGCUCUUACGCCAGGAUCAGCCUGUUUCACCAAGCAGAGAAAUGCUGUGCCAUGUUCUCCGUUGCACUUAUUCCAAGCAGCUUCAUGUCCUCCUCUCAUCAUGUCUGUAUUUCACCUCUCCCUCUGGCACCUCUCAUCAGGAUCACCCCUCAGUGGUGUGUUAGAAGUGCUUCCUUAGAUGGGCCAAUCCAACCCAUAGCUACAGCUCUUAUAUGAAGGAUGUACUGCCAUAACUUUGUGCAAAACAUCUAGGAGAUGUCACUGUCCAUUUUCAGGGUCCAAGUAUGGCAAUAGUUUGUAUAAAAUGUACACAUAGUGGUGGCUACAGAAUAGUUUAUGACUAAAUACGUAUCUAUUACUGUCAAAAUAAUGUAUAAGAAUGUACUUGAAGCUAUUAUCCUUGUGCUCUGUUGUCUGAAUAAUUAAAGAAAUUACAGAGACUUCC